GACGAACGCUGGCGGCGUGCUUAACACAUGCAAGUCGAACGGAAAGGCCCUGCUUUUGUGGGGUGCUCGAAUGGCGAACGGGUGAGUAACACGUGAGAAACCUGCCCUUGACUUUGGGAUAACUUCAGGAAACUGGGGCGAAUACCGGAUAGGAGCUCCUGCUGCAUUGUGGGGGUUGGAAAGUUUCGGCGGUUGGGGAUGGACUCGCGGCUUAUCAGCUUGUUGGUGGGGUAGUGGCUUACCAAGGCUUUGACGGGUAGCCGGCCUGAGAGGGUGACCGGCCACAUUGGGACUGAGAUACGGCACAGACUCCUACGGGAGGCAGCAGUGGGGAAUAUUGCACAAUGGGCGGAAGCCUGAUGCAGCAACGCCGCGUGCGGGAUGACGGCCUUCGGGUUGUAACCCGCUUUCGCCUGUGACGAAGCGUGAGUGACGGUAAUGGGUAAAGAAGCACCGGCUAACUACGUG
rnacentral:rRNA from 1 species